GCUGGGUGUUGUGGCCCACACCUGUAAUCCCAGUGGAUUGGGAGGCUGAGGCAGGAGGAUGGAGAGUUCAAAGCCAGUUUCAGCAAAAGUGAGGUGCUAAGCAACUCAGUGAGACCUUGUCUCUA
rnacentral:sRNA from 1 species